GCCACUUUUUAUUCAGACACGCUAAGAUGUAAACGCCGACCGACUGAAGUCAUUAAUAGACACCAUUUUCCAAAUGUAACGUAAAAUAGCUAUCGUUCGGCGUGUUUAUUUAACUCACCCGACCGGAGGAAAGAUCGCUUUGUCUCAAAGACAUCUUCCUUCUGAAGGAAACUUUCCCCGCAGUUAGAAAUAACGGCGGUGAGCAGCUUCAUAUUUUCAGUCACGGAGGAGAGCCUCCUGGGCGCUGGGUUGCAAACAUUAGUGCGUGAAGAAGACGACAUCUAGAGAUGAGCUACAGUAACAUCCGGGACCUUCGCAACUCUCAACACACUCCGCGCACCUGUCAUUGAUGAUCUUCCUGGGCUUCUUAAGCCAGUGCAGACCUGCGUUCCGGGCCACAACGUAAUCGUCUGUUCCCAUACAACCUUGUUCCCGCGUUGACGAGCUGUGUGGCUCGUCUUUCCUUGUUCCCUUGGCUUCCCUAGCUGCCUCUUGUAUCUCGACCUCCCGCUUGGACACAGACCUUUUGACGCCUCGCUAUACCCCCGACUACCUGCCUGUCUCACGGACAUUCGAGCCUGUCUUUCCCCUCCAGGACUUCCACCUUUCGCUCAACACUCCCGGUAACCCACAACAGUUAAUUCACACAUAGUCGCACACCA